rnacentral:rRNA from 1 species
UACGAAGGGGGCUAGCGUUGCUCGGAAUUACUGGGCGUAAAGGGAGCGUAGGCGGACUGUUAAGUGAGAAGUGAAAGCCCCAGGCUCAACCUGGGAAUUGCUUCUCAUACUGGCAGACUCGAGUGUGGGAGAGAAGGAUGGAAUACCCGGUGUAGCGGUGAAAUGCGUAGAGAUCGGGUGGAACACCAGUGGCGAAGGCGGUUCUUUGGACCACUACUGACGCUGAGGCGCGAAAGCGUGGGGAGCAAACAGG